rnacentral:rRNA from 1 species
AUUGAACGCUGGCGGCAUGCUUUACACAUGCAAGUCGAACGGUAACAGGGUGCUUGCACCGCUGACGAGUGGCGAACGGGUGAGUAAUGCGUCGGAACGUGCCGAGUAGUGGGGGAUAACGCAGCGAAAGUUGUGCUAAUACCGCAUACGUACUGAGGUAGAAAGUGGGGGACCUUCGGGCCUCACGCUAUUCGAGCGGCCGACGUCUGAUUAGCUAGUAGGUGAGGUAAAGGCUCACCUAGGCGACGAUCAGUAGCGGGUCUGAGAGGAUGAUCCGCCACGCUGGGACUGAGACACGGCCCAGACUCCUACGGGAGGCAGCAGUGGGGAAUUUUGGACAAUGGGCGAAAGCCUGAUCCAGCCAUGCCGCGUGUGUGAAGAAGGCCUUUUGGUUGUAAAGCACUUUAAGCGAGGAGGAGGCUACUAGUAUUAAUACUACUGGAUAGUGGACGUUACUCGCAGAAUAAGCACCGGCUAACUCUGUGCCAGCAGCCGCGGUAA